UGAGUGUGAUGCUUCCAGUCUUAGAAAUGCC
rnacentral:piRNA from 1 species